GCGUGAGCCGUAUUCUUCCUAGCUGCUCUGGCUUUUAGUGUGAAAUAUCAUCGAAGGUGCGAUAACUUACCUUCCAAGUAACAGCUGGAAGACGACGAAAGCCCUUUCUUAGAUUUACACCCCACCAAUUUCAGGCAUAUCUCCAACAUUUUCAUUUGCUUUCUCGUCCCCUUGCCGCCUGGAAAACUUUCAAAUUCUUUUGAGCGUCUUCUCUCCUUUUACAUGUGUCCCACAGAAGGAUAGUUCAAAGAGCGAUCCACGAUGGAUGUAGAAAUAACACUGAUCUUCUGGACUUUGAUGUCAGUCCUGGUGCUGGGACAAAAAGAAAAACUCUACCAACAUUCUCUUCCUAGCAUCUCCAUGUUUAGUUUUUUUUUCUUCUUUCCUCCUGUCCAAAGAGAAUCCGAAAACGCUGGCCGGCGGUCUCGCUGGGCUGGUGUCAGUGGCGGGCCGGUUGUCUCUGCGCUGCCAUUCCUCUGUCCCGUCGCCCUUCUUCGUGUGGACUGUGGAGCCGAGGCGCAAGGACGAGUUAGCGCUACAGAUGCCAACAAAGGGCCUCUUUCAGGACCGGCCUGCUGCACUCAAUGACAUCAGCUGAGCCCUCCCACCUCCAGCAACACACACACCCACACAAUGAAAGAGCACAUGGACACACUUAAAACACACCGACAGCUGCUCACCGGCGUACACGUCCACUAAAAAGGAGUGCCCUGAAACUGAUGAGCGCCGACGCCAUGAAGACCAGUGGACCCGAAGAUCCAGUGCCAGAACGUAGUUCACUCUUAGUAUAUUCCUUCAGUCUCCAUUGAUCGAGCUGUGCGCCUCGCUUCAUUGGACUUCCCUCCGGAUUUUGGACUGCUUCCCUCGAUCCCCGCUUGGACACGGACCUCGACGCCUCUCUCCAGCCCCCGACCUCUCGCUUCCUACGAACAUCCUUCUUGCCUUGCCCCACUGGACUUUUGGUCAAUUCAUCCAACGCACACGAACAACACCCACCGGCAACAUUUAAUUCCUCACAUUGUCUCGCACCAUACACUCUUAGUAGCAUACACAUCCCAACACAUCAUUAAGUUCAAUAAACCUGUUGAACUUAUUUAUGUCGUUGUGUCGUCUCCUUCCCCCGGGGAACGUAACGGGUUUCAGUUAUUUCACCUUUUUUUGUCUACAUGGGUACAUUCAUAGUUUUGAUGCCUUCAGUGACAAUCUACAAUGUAAAUAGUCAUGGAAAUAAAGAAAACGCAUUGAAUGAAGAA